ensembl:lncRNA
GUCCAGUGCCAGACAGCUUCCCAUACAGCAAAUUUCCCAUCAAGCACUGAAAGCAUGUUUUUUCUACAUCUGGAAACUGUCCUGCUCCUCACUGGUGUUUGAGUGUUGUUCUGAUAUCCUGCUGAAAAGCCUCCAACCAAAAUCAGCCAACACAAAUUAAUAAAUUACCACCAGUCAGCAGGGGCAGAGUAACUGGACGGUGUGUGUUCUUGUCCUGAUGCACCCUACACCUCAACUGAUUAGCUGUAACUCCAUAAUUAAUGUCGAGUGUCCACCUGUGUCUGCUCUCCUCACUGGUACUGCAUUCCCCAUCUCAGAGCCAAAGAAACUCAAGAGGUCCUCCAAUGAGCAAACACAUUACAUAAGCAUGAGGUGAGACUGGAGACUCUGAGAGGUAGGGAUGUUGAAAGAGCACUGAUUUAUGAGAACUGGAGCAAAGUGGUAACUGAAGCAAUAGCUCCUUUUCCAUGAUGCUGCCCUGUGUUUUGUAACCUACCUCAUGGCCACUGGAUGAUUAGGACCUUUCCUGAGUGCACGAUUUCCCUUACCCUCAGUGUUUAUGAUGGCUGGUUUCAAUUAUUCCUUUCCUUCACACUCUGUAUUUCAACCUGCCUCAGAUGAGCAAUUCAUCUACUCUAUCAAAUAACUUACCAAGAUAGAUUUCACAUGCAAGGCAAAUACAUUUUCCUUCCCCUCAUAAUUCCACAACACUGUUUUUUAGAAUUCUGUUUCUCUUGCCUGAUUCCCAGCAAACCCUUACCCAGAGUAGAGCUUUCUAAUGUGCAGAUUGGAUAUAAAAUGCCAUCAGAUAACAGUGACAUUUCCACCUACUCUGUCCUGACCCUUGUGCCACAACUUUUCCCCCAUGUUACCUGAGCUGAUAUAAAGAGUGAGGUCAGAAAACGUUGCACAGGGCUGAAACAAGACCCCACCAUGGAUUGUCAUGUCCAUGUACAUGACUGAAGUAACUGGUGCCUAUGCAGAUUUGUAUGUAGUGGUGUUCUACGUAUGCAUGUGCACAGCAUGCAUGGCCAUGACGAAUGGUGCCAUGAUGCAUGUGAAAAAGCCCAUUUUUUACACAUGUAUUCAUGCUUUGUGAACUUCUGAUAUCAAUUCAUUUAAGAAUGGAGAGAAAAUUAAGAGAUUUGGUGCAUGUAGUUGCUCAUUCUUAAUACUCUUCUGAUCUUAGCAUAGAUGGGACCUGCACAGAUGAGUGAUGAGCGCUUGGAGGGUGAUUCCGUGGUAGAAGCAUCGUGUGGGUCCCAAGUUGGGUAUGGACACUGCUAUGGCACCCAAGUGAACGGAGCCCUGUGUCAGCAAAAAGCGUGAUGAAUAUCCAGGUGAGCUCAACAAGCACUCAGCAGAAUUCAUCUGCAGCUCAUUGAGGCAACACAGAGAGAGUUCAUGGGGAGUUUAUCAUGGGAACUGCUGAGGGUUAAUGGCCAGCAGAACAGAUUGAGCUGUGGGAUUACUAAAUAAUGAACUUUUCUCUCCAAUAAAUUUGUCCCUGACUUAUAAAAAAUCAAUAACAUACUACAUUUCGGGCUUUUUUUUUCCUUUUCCUUUUGGUGACGGUGGGGAAUGUGGGCUCAGAGUAAUUUUUAAACUACUCUUUCAUAUAUAUGUAUAAAUAUAUUUUACUCUGAUCAUUUAUACAAAAGCUCAGAUGUGCCACAUUUACUGCAGCUUCAUCACCUAGAUAGAUUUUUAUGUGGGUGCCCGGCUAUUGCUUUGUUUAAUCAUUCUUUUCUCUUCCCUCCCCAGUCCCUUGCCUCCCCCUUCCCUUCCAUGCUUUUUAUGACACUAUCGCCAGCGCAGAUAUGCAGGAGGGUUUUCAUGUGAUAUAGGAUGUCGGAGAGGUCAGGUCAGCUGGGACAGAGCCAAAAAUAUUAGCACUUUCUAACUGCUGAGGAGAGAAAUUGAAAUAAUAGCACUUAUAAAUUGGCAGGUUUUCAACUGCAGGAGAAGAGAGGGAUUUUUUGCGUGUGUUUAUUUUGUUUCAGAAGUGGAGAGGAGGCGGAUCCGGUUCUUGGCCACAGAAGAGAUGUUCACUGUGCUUUGGGCUCGUGUUUGUGUUAAAUUUGGCCAGGAAGUGGUUGGUGGGCUGGUAUCUGUUCUCAGACACGCAUUUCCUGUUUUUAACCCAAUCUUUCUUCCCUCCAUCUCUGUAUGGAAAUAGAAUUAUAGAAUCAUUAAUGUUCGAAGAGACCAUUAGGAUCAUCAAGCCCAACCACAGGUCCCUCAGAUGACUGCAUAUAGCAAGUCUCCCCAAAAUACAGGAGGGACACCCAGUCCAGCUUUUCAGGGAUCUCCUGGGCUCUCUGCUUCAACAGUGAAUCACCAAGCCUUGGUGAAACCAUGGCUCUUUCAGUCACACCGUCACUGUUAGACAGCAUCAGCAAUGGAAAUCACCUCCUCUCACCAAAGCCCAAAGUGCUUUGCAGGAUCUGCCUUCCAAAACCUGCUCUCAUCUGGUCUCCGAUGCUUCACCUCAACCCAGGCACAGCUGUUACGUGUGCCAACCUGGGGAAAUCAGAAGCCAUGCAGCAAUAACUGUUAAUUGACCGAGAGCCACCUCUGCGAUGCCAACAGGAACAAAAGAACAAGCAUCUGGCUUUGCCAUCUGUGCCUGUUUAAAUGCAGCAAAAAGAAACCCUUCUCCAGAUCUCCCAGCUGGGUGGAGAGGUAACUGGAUUCAGCAGCAACGUGGAGUUGCAGGUUGGCUGGGUCUGUGGCUCCUAGUCACUCUGACAUGUGAAACCCUUUGCACGAGACAUGUUGACCUUCCCAGCCCUGGCUUUGUAGAUGAGAGCAAUGAUGGGCUCUGAUGGACGCAACUGAGCAGCCUGGAGUUAUUUCUAGUCAUGGUUGCAGUUCACUGUGAAUAAAAGUCCAGGUGUUCAGAAAUCACUCAGUGCUCAAAGUACUUGCAAGAGCUUUGAUGCACCCUUUACCUCUUUCCAUCUCACUAGGCAUGGCUAGGAGAGCUCUUCAAUGGAUCACAUGUCCUGGAAAAGGACACCUGUCUUGUGCCCCACACAUCCCAGAGGUCAUAAGGAAGGGAUCACUGGUGUUCAGACAACCUCCUCCACCAAAGUCUGCAAAACAAAUUAAAAGCAUAUCAAAUCUUCUGUUUUCCAAGGAGCUUCACAUGAUAAAAGCUGAGUCAGAGGUCUCUGGUGUGCUGGGAUCCUGAAACUUCUAGGAAGGUUUUCACCCCAACAUAGAGUACGAAGCAUCAGGCCUUCCACCAGGACAGACAUCCUAUUUGUAAACACUGCUUUAUUGUAUCUUACUCUCCUCCAUAAUGCUUUUCACUCCAGCAUGGAUGAACCUUCAUGGGAGUUUUUCCAGUGUCACCCUUAAUAAUGAUAUCAUUCUCUUUUUACCAAGACACUUUGCUAGACUGGAAGACAACAGUUUCGUAUCAGUCCCUCAAGACAAGCCAGUAAUCAUCCAACAGACCAUCUCAUCUUCACUGACCAUUCCUGUGAUGGGAGUUGCUCACGUCAGAGGAGCAUUAAAGGUUUCCAAACAGACAAAAAGCUUUACACAGGCAAGUGGAACGAAACCUUAGGCUUCUCAGAAGCACACUUAUGGACUGUGAAGAAAAUUUUGGCGAUGAGUUUUUCACCCGUGGGACAACAUCCUAUGCAUCAUAGCAAGAAUACAUCGGGGAAAGUGCACACCUGGAAGAGCUCACAGUCUGAAGGGAUUGGAUAGAAACCUCACAUCUGAUGUUGUGCCUGGUUUUUAAAGCAGUUUUGAACACUGGGUAUCAAAAUAUGUUCCCUGCUCUGAAGUUUAAGCAACCUGCUCCUCACGCUUCAAUAGCAAGCUGCACUCAAGAGGACAUUUGCUGCCCACUCCUAUGGAUGACAAAACACAAUUUAUGGGAUGUGUUGUACAGAAAGGAGGCAGCCUUUGCCUCAAGGUGUAGGUAGCAGAUUGACCAAAGCUAGAGGUCAAUAGGCCAAUAUUUGACCAGGCAUGGCUCCUCCUUGCAUCCCGUUUGGGAGCCUUUCUGCAAGCAGAGAGCAGAGAUUGAGAAAUCAGCAAGAUUGGUCACCCUUCCCUUCAUUGCUUAAAUUAUUUACUUUACCGUUUUCUCUUCUCCUGGCAGCUGAUUUGUCAAAGCAAGUGAAGCAGCUAGAAAGAGAGUUGUGGCUGCAGCAGGAAUAUUACAGCAAUUAGAAAGGGCCAUAAACAGUUCUCUACAUAUGAAACUGCUCAUUGAAUUUGACAAGCAGCCUUUUCUUCUUCUCCCCGCCACCAAAUACAAUGCAGCCUCUUUCCCUUUCAUAAAUGCCAGCACUUUUUCUUUCGGUUCCCACCAAGGGUCCCUCACACUCAACACUCAGAUCAAUACAUUUGCGGACUGAAAGGGACCUUUCUCCUCAACACUCAGCCUCUCGCGGACAGAAUUAAGGCUGAUUGAGUAUGUCACAGUCCGACUGCAAUUUAGAGAGGCAUCGUGCAACCGUGCUGUCCUGGCACCGGUCCAGCUGUCAGAUUUAAUAGAAAAGUAGAGCAGCUUCAUCUGCCCCAAACGGCACGCUGCUCUCUGCAGCCACUGAUUUAGGCUUCCUACACGUUACGGUCUGUCACUUGGAAGUGAUGGAUGAGGUACCAGUGGAUGUCUCUUGCUCACUCCCGGUAGCGAUAAGCAAGUAGCAGGUACGUCAGGAGAAGAGCUGAAGGGAUUAUCUUGGGCUUAUUUUGUGUUUGCCAAUACUGAAGGCGGAGAACAUGCUGCCAGAGCAGGAUGUUAUAAAUUAUAUUGUGCUAUAGCAGGUAGGGCUGAAACAUGGUGGCAAUGGGUUGAUGGUUGGACUUGGUGAUCUUAGUGGUCUUUUCCAACCUUAAUGAUUGUGUGAACCUGUUGAGGCUUCUCCAACCUCCAUAAUCAUGGGGGGAGACCUCUACAGAGCUCCCUUCCACUUACAUAGUGUCUAAGGGUUGAACUCUUGCCAUAUGUUAGAAAUUAGGACCAAAGGAGGUCUUGUUGACCUCCUGUCCUGCCAUGAGAUAGAAUUGCCUGUGCUACUUUGCACAACACUGGGUCAUUCAGGUUAAUAUUUCCCCUGGAGAGAAGCAGCAUGAGUCAGAGUACCCACUUGGAAAGGAGAGAUUGGGGUGAUUUGGAGUGGAAUGAUGGAGGGCCUUAUGACAAACUGCUCUGUAAUUACGUUGGCAAAGAUCUUCUGCCAACAAGGAGCAGAGCAGCACCUAGGUGGAUACAGGUGGCUUUGCAUUUCCUGGGUACCUCAAUUUGCUUUGUUUCUGCUCCAGAAGGAUGCUGAUUAACUGUGGGUGGUUCAGGGAAGAGCCGCCUGAACAGCUGAAGGUUUGGGGAUGGGGAUGACAGGAGCAGGGGGAGGCAGAUGAUGCCUGGUGUUACUGAGAAAAGGUUAAGGGGUAAUUUAUCAUUGUCUGUAAGUACCUGCUUGGGAGCAGUAAUUUGAGAUGAGAGCUCUUGAGUCUGUAUCACAAAAGGAUAACUGGAACUGUUGGCUGUGUGUUGGUGUGAGGUGCAUUUUCUGAGACACAGGCACAGCAAAAGGAGUGGGUGGGGGAAAGGCAUCACAGCUGUCAACAGGUGCUCCAGCCCUCCACCUCCAAUGGUUGCAGUCCCCUCUUUCCUUAACUCGGGAAUCCUGCACCUAUUUGCAAAUGACAAGGCUGAUGCAAGCAGAGUAGAAUAGGGUAUUUACCUCCUUCUGCCUAAAAAUCCCAACGUUGCCUUUGCCUUGCAAGAUGGAACAGAACCACUUACAAUCCCAGAUUUUCUACAGCCUGUUAAUCCCAAGAGAUGCAGACAUGUCAGACUUCUUGGCUUCAGGGAUUUCAACCCAAAGGAUAAUUAUGAAAAAACUCCCAAAUUGAUAUGCUUGAUCUUAAGAUUGUUACCACAGCCCCAAUAAUUUUGUUGGAAGUCCCAACCCCACUGAUUAAAUCACGUUCUUAAGCUGCAAUUCUCCACCUAUCUACAGUCAUUCUGUAUUUUGACACAGCAACCCCAGUGAUUUCCUACAACCAUAUCUCCCAUAACAUGCCUGGUUAUUAAUUCUCAGGAUGCAUCACACAGCUUCAGCAGUGAAAAGAUGCCCUCUGCAUUAUGGAAGAUAAAGUUCUUCAGGAAACUCAGCUCAGAAUGCAGCUUGGAGCUGGGAGGUCCCAGUUUGCAGUGUCCACAUGAGAAAAGACUGCCACUUAAUUCUGAAAUCACAAUGUAUUCAAAGUCAUUACGUGCUAUCAAAAAUAUAAGGGAUUACCAGAUGCAAAAUGAGGCAUUUAAUUCUCAUGUCAUCUAAAUCAGAAAUUUUCCCCCAUCACAUUUAAAUGGUGUGAUGAAGCCCUUAUGGGAAACCUGUUUGGCUGAAAAGUCCAUGGCCAGUUUCACAGAUCAACUACUCAGUACAAACCAUGGUGACUUUUCCUCAGCUGGAUGCCAUUAAACAGAGAUCAGUUCCAUUUGCUUUGUUGAAAGAAAGAAAAAAAAAAUAGAGAAAAAUAAAAGCUCUUUUUAGCUCCAACUCUGUGUCUAGCUUUGAGGAGCCUUGUCUUCAGAUAGUUGGAUAGACCAUGGCUGUCUAUGACAAGGACAGGACAGGAGCUUGCACCAGGAGGAGGCUGUGCUGCCACAGCAUUCAGCUCUGCAAGCCCAAACGUUGUGGCUGCCAACGUUCAGGUGAACAAUGCAAUUUACAUCCAAACACUGCUCCUGGGCAGCAGAAUGCAACCAGUCAACCAGAGCAAGGGCUGAUUAUGGGAAACAUCUGGGGUGAAAUGGGAAUUCCCCAUUCUCUAGUCAUUCCCUGGACUAUUUUAGGACAGCUUCUUCAUAAAAUGGAAGUGCAGUCUUCUCCAGAGCCCCACCUGUAUAACCAAGGGCAGGUUGGGCCAGAGGAAUGAAAUAAAUGAGCUUUUUAAUGGGCUUUAAUCACAAAUUGUCCUUCAGGGCUUGAUAGAGGUUUCUGCCACAUCAAAGAGAAAUCUCCUGUCCAUUUCAAGGGGAGAAGAAGCAAACUUGUGAACAGCACAUCAGAAUUAAACCUUGUAAAAGAUCACUGCACAUAGUAAAUGCACUGGUAGUGCUCAGGAGAAGGGAGAGAGCAACUGCUUGGCUGGUGAUUUAUCACACCUUUUGGACCCCCAAACUCUUUUGCAUUUUGACUUCAGAUGGGCUAUAGAAAAACAUGUCUAUAAUGUCUGUGUCCAACUAUCCACUCUUAAUGACCCAGUGGAACACCCAAAACAGGCAGAGCUUUGCCUGUUUCAACAUGAGAGUCCAUCUUCCAAAACAAGAGCUGCAGAGACUAUGUCUGGAUCAGGAGAUAGGGGCUCAUCUUUCCUUCUGCAGUCAUUUGGUGACUACAGCACAUGCCUGAGCGCUAGGAAAUGGUCAGUGAGCAAUGCCUAUCUCUUUUGCCUGUAAUAAUGUAAGCCUGCUUGUCCCUCAUAAGUACUUUGAGGACAUGAUAAUGGGAUAUUCAAACACAGGGAGCUCACUGUUGCUGCCAAUGGGACUUCCCCACUUUAUCAUGGAAGAUGGGAAAGAGUGACUACAGAUUGCACUUUCCUCCUUGCCGUCAUAUCAGGCUUCUGCUCUGCUUCCCCAGCUGGUUAAUACACUGCUUCUUAACUACAUCUCUUCAGAAAUGUCAGUCCAGAUGAUGUCAGAGCUGAAAGAUGACCUCUCAAGCCCUGGCCUGGGAGAGUAUUGGCUCCCUUCCUUAAAUCCACAUUGUACAGGGACUCUACGAGGAAGUCUGAACAGAUCUGUGGCCUUUAGCAGGGCAUGAGAAAGGGAGACUGCUCAGAUGGGAGAAGGACUUAUGGGCAGACAAUGAGGAUUUUUCAUGAUGUGACAUUUUAUUUGCUCUGAUAUGUUGACAUGAGUCCUGUGAGUCAUCAGGAGAGCUGACUUCUGGAUUCUCAGUUCUUAGCUCCUCUUUUGUCUACAGGGCUUGCUUCUUUCCGGGCCUUAGCACUAAUGAAAUUAAAAUCUUUUGCUUCUGAAAGAAUUAUGGGUCUGGCUCAUGCCAAAAUAUUAAUUCUGUGGGAGAAAGGGGCAAUGUAAGCAUCUGAUGGGUGUGUGAGAUGGAUGAGAAAAAACAGAGGAAAAUUUUGUCUUAGUGUCAGGCUCUGCAAUUUUUAUUUUUUGGAGUUAGCUUCAUUUAAGACUAACUGAGCAUCAUAGGCAGUCAAUGGCUUAACAGAUAUCUGUGCCAAAGAACACAUUAUCUGCAAGUGAAAUAUCGUAACGGGUCUAUGUGAUGGAAAGCACUAGAAGGACAAGUUAUAAAUAC